AUAAUAAUUAACCAGGACAACUGUUUCAUUUCAUGCAAAUUCUUUUAUGUUUGGUGCACAAGUUAGUCUCUUUUGCUUCAGCCUAAUGAUAGGACUAUGCACAAAGAGUAGCUUCCUCCAUCCCAUUAACCCAAUCACUUUCUAGUGGCUCGAGUUUGAGACACCAAAUUAGAAUUUGGCACUUCAGCCAUUAGAUUGCUCUUUCAGAAGGGCAUCGCCCAGCCUAAUGCCCAACAUAGCCCCAUUGAAAAUUUCAUUGGCAAAGGCCACACCACAGAGAAAUUCUCCUUGUCAUGACAUGCAUGUCAGAUUCACCUGCCCUUAUUUCACAUGUAAACACAAUAUUUCUUCAUAUUCCUCAAACAACAUGAUUUUAACUAAAAAUCCAUGU
rnacentral:misc_RNA from 1 species